GCCGAUGUAGCUCAGUUGGCUAGAGCAUGCGGUUCAUACCCGCAGGGUCGUAGGUUCAAAUCCUAUCGUCGGCACCA
rnacentral:tRNA from 1 species